rnacentral:snoRNA from 1 species
UACAUUAGUGUUAGGUUCUGACAGAAAUGACAUGCAAUUAUGCUGCCGUUCUUGACUUUCAGGACUGAACUGGUGUGUG